rnacentral:rRNA from 1 species
GAUGAACGCUGGCGGCGUGCUUAACACAUGCAAGUCGAACGAAGCACUUUAUUACGAUUUCUUCGGAAUGACGAUUUAGUGACUGAGUGGCGGACGGGUGAGUAACGCGUGGGUAACCUGCCUUAUACAGGGGGAUAACAGUUAGAAAUGACUGCUAAUACCGCAUAAGCGCACAGGAUUGCAUGAUCUGGUGUGAAAAACUCCGGUGGUAUAAGAUGGACCCGCGUCUGAUUAGCUGGUUGGUGAGGUAACGGCCCACCAAGGCGACGAUCAGUAGCCGACCUGAGAGGGUGACCGGCCACAUUGGGACUGAGACACGGCCCAAAACUCCUACGGGAGGCAGCAGUGGGGAAUAUUGCACAAUGGGGGAAACCCUGAUGCAGCGACGCCGCGUGAGCGAAGAAGUAUUUCGGUAUGUAAAGCUCUAUCAGCAGGGAAGAAGAAAUGACGGUACCUGACUAAGAAGCACCGGCUAAAUACGUGCCAGCAG